rnacentral:rRNA from 1 species
CUUACGGGUGGCUGCAGUAAGGAAUAUUGGUCAAUGGAGGAAACUCUGAACCAGCCAUCCCGCGUGAAGGAUGAAGGGGCUCUGCCUUGUAAACUUCUUUUGUCUGGGGCGAAAAAGCUCGAUUUAUCGAGAACUGACGGUACCAGAAGAAUAAGCACCGGCUAACUCCGUGCCAGCAGCCGCGGUAAUACGGAGGGUGCAAGCGUUAUCCGGAAUCACUGGGUUGAAGGGGUGUUUAUGCGGUAGUGGAAAAAGGUUGUAGCUCAACUAUAAGAGGUCCAUUGAUACUGUAAGACUUGAAUCGAGUUGAGGUUGGCGGAAUGAGACAUGUAGCGGUGAAAUGCUUAGAUAUGUCAUAGAACACCAAUUGCGAAGGCAGCUGACUAGACUUAGAUUGACGCUGAGGCACGAAAGUGUGGGUAGCGAACAGGAUUAGAUACCCUUGUAGUC